rnacentral:rRNA from 1 species
CCUACGGGUGGCAGCAGUGAGGAAUAUUGGUCAAUGGGCGCGAGCCUGAACCAGCCAAGUAGCGUGAAGGAUGACUGCCCUACGGGUUGUAAACUUCUUUUAUAAAGGAAUAAAGUGAGGCACGCGUGCCUUUUUGUAUGUACUUUAUGAAUAAGGAUCGGCUAACUCCGUGCCAGCAGCCGCGGUAAUACGGAGGAUCCGAGCGUUAUCCGGAUUUAUUGGGUUUAAAGGGAGCGUAGAGGGGUUGUUAAGUCAGUCGUGAAAGUUUGCGGCUCAACCGUAAAAUUGCAGUUGAUACUGGCAGUCUUGAGUGGAGGAGAGGUAGGCGGAAUGCGUGGUGUAGCGGUGAAAUGCAUAGAUAUCACGAAGAACUCCGAUUGCGAAGGCAGCAUACUAA